CCUACGGGAGGCAGCAGUGGGGAAUAUUGGACAAUGGGCGAAAGCCUGAUCCAGCAACGCCGCGUGAGGGAUGACGGCCUUCGGGUUGUAAACCUCUUUCAGCUCCGACGAAGCGCAAGUGACGGUAGGAGCAGAAGAAGCACCGGCCAACUACGUGCCAGCAGCCGCGGUAAUACGUAGGGUGCAAGCGUUGUCCGGAAUUAUUGGGCGUAAAGAGCUCGUAGGCGGUCCGUCGCGUCGGGAGUGAAAACUCGGGGCUUAACCCCGAGCGUGCUUCCGAUACGGGCGGACUAGAGGUAGGUAGGGGAGAACGGAAUUCCUGGUGUAGCGGUGGAAUGCGCAGAUAUCAGGAGGAACACCGGUGGCGAAGGCGGUUCUCUGGGCCUUACCUGACGCUGAGGAGCGAAAGUGUGGGGAGCGAACAGGAUUAGAUACCCCUG
rnacentral:rRNA from 1 species